GAGGCAUCCUAAUCAGAUGCCCGAGCCACCUCAUCUGGCUCCUCUCAAUGUGAAGAAGCAGUGGCUCUACUCUGAGCCCCUCCCGGCUGACAGAUCUUCUCACCCUAUCUCUAAGGGAGAGCGCGGACACCCUGGGGAGGAAACUCAUUUCCGCCGCUUAUAUUAUAUCUUAUAUCUUCUUCUUUCGUUCAUGACCCAUAGCUCGUGACCAUAGAUGAGGGUAGGAACGUAGAUGGACCGGGAAAUUGACAGCUUCGCCUUUCGGCUUAGCUCCUUCUUCACCACAACGGACUGAUACAAAGUCCUCAUGACUGCAGACGCUGCACCGAUCCGCUUGUCGAUCUCCUGUUCCACUCUUCCCUCACUCGUCAACAAGACCCUAAGAUACUUGAACUCCUCCACUUGGGGCAGGAUCUCAUCCCCGACCUGGAGAGGGGACUCCACCCUUUUCCGACUGAGGACCAUGGUCUCAGAUUUGGAGGUGCUGAUUCUCAUCCCAGCCGUUUCAUACUCGUCUGCGAACCGCUCCAGUGAGAGUUGGAGAUCACGAUUUGAUGAAGCCAACAGAACCACAUCAUCUGCAAAAAGCAGAGAAUCAACCACCAAAAGGGACCCCCACUACGCCUCUUCUGUGCCUAGAAAUCCUGUCCAUAAAAGUUAGGAACCGAAUCGGUGACAAAGGGCAGCGUUGGCGGAGUCCAACCCUCACCGGAAACGAGUCCGACUUACUGCCAGCAAUGCGGACCAAACUCUGAAAUUGGUCGUACAGGGACUGAACAGCCCGUAUCAGGGGGUUCGGUACCCCAUAAUCCCGAUGCACCCACCACAGGACUCCCUGAGGGACACGGUCGAACGCCUUCUCCAAGUCCACAAAACACAUGUAGACUGGUUGGGUGAACUCCCAUGCACCCUCGAGGACCCUGCCGAGGUUGUAGAGCUGAUCCACUGUUCCACGGCCAGGACGCAAAUCACACUGUUCCUCCUGAAUCUGAGAUUCAACUUCCCGACGGACCUUCUUCUCCAGCACUCCUGGAUAGACCUUACCAGGGAGGCUGAGGAGUGUGAUCACCCUGUAGUUGGAACACACCCUACGGUUCCCCUUCUUAAAAAGGGGGACAACGACCCCAGUCUGCCAAUCCAGAGGCACUGUCCAAGAUCUCCACGCGAUGUUGCAGAAGUGUGUCAACCAGGACGGCCCCACAAAUCCAGAGCCUUUAGGAACUCCGGGCGAAUCUCAUCCACCGAGGAGCUUUUUAACCACCUCGAUGACCUCAACCCCAAAGAUAGGAGAGCCCGCCUCAGAGACCUCAGACUCUGCUUCCUUAUGGGAAGGCGUGUUGGUGGAAUUGAGGAUCUCUUCAAAGUAUUCUCCCCAUCGACUCACAACGUCCCGAGUCGAGGUCAGCAGCACCCAUCCCCACUAUACACAGUGUUGACGGUGCACUGCUUCCCUCUCCUGAGACACCUGAUGGUGGACCAGAAUUUCCUCAAAGCCAUCCGGAAGUCUUUCUCCAUGGCCUCACCGAACUCCUCCCACCCCCAAGUUUUUGCUGCAGCGACCACCAAAGAUGCAUUCCGCUUGGCCAGCCGGUACCCAUCGGCUGCCUCAGGAGUCCCACAGGACAAAAAGAUAGGACUCCUCCUUCAGCUUGACGGCAUACCUCACCACUGGUGUCCACCAACUGGUUCGGGGCUUGCCGGCACGACAGGCACCGACCACCUUAUGGCCACAGCUCCGGUUGGCCGUCUCAGCAAUGUAGGCGCAGAACAAGGUCCACUCAGACUUCCGGCGUUCCUCCCAUUCACACCUUUCCAGGUCUCAGUGUCAUUGCCCACAUGAGCAUUAAAGUCCCCCAGCAGAAGGAUGGAGUCCCCAGUGGGCGCGCUCACCAGCAUCUCCUCCAAGGUCUUCAAAAAGGGUGGGUACUCUGAACUGCUGUUUCGAGCAUAGACACAAACAACACUCAGGACCCGUCCUCCCAUGCGAAGGCAGAGGGAAGCUACCCUCUCGUCCACCGGGGUGAACCACAAUGUACAGGUGCUGAGCCGGGGGGUAAUAAUUAUACCCACACCUGCUCGGCGCCUCUCACCGUGGGCAACUCCAGAGUGGAAGAGAGUCCAACCCCUCUCAAGAGGACUGGUACCAGAGCCCAAGCCAUGUGUGGAGGUGAGCUCAAACUCACACACCAGCUCGGGCUCCUUCCCUGCCAGAGAGGUUACAUUCCACGUCCCAAGAGGUAGCUUCAGUAGCUGGGGAUCGGAUCGCCAAGGUCCCUGCCUUCGGCCACCGCCCAGCUCGCACUGCACCGGACCCCUAUGGCCCCUCCCACAGGUGGUUAGCCAAUGGGAAGGGGGAGCCACGUUACCCUUUCGGGCUGUGCCCGGCCGGGCCCCAUGGGUGCGGGCCCGGCCACCAGGUGCUUGCCUUUGAGCAGCAGCCAGAGGCAUAAAGCCCCAGACAACUUAGCUCCUAGGGUCAUUGGGACACAAACCCCUCCACCACGAUAAGGUGAGGGCUCAAGGAGGGGCAUACAGAUGUAUGAUGUAUAAUAUCUGCCAAUUUCUUUUUUUUUUUUUAAGUGCACAAUAGUAAGUAUUUUGUGCUAUUUAAAAGUUUCAAAAAUAUUCCAGACACAAUUUUCAGAAUGUUCCUGAGAGUUGAUGAUAGGGAUUGGCAUCUCUGAAUGUGCUAGGGACACAUUACAGCUGUUGGGCAGUAGGUUGCGGCACGGUACCCGACUGGUUAGCACGUCCGCCUCACAGUUUUGAGGACCAGGGUUCAAAUGGCCUCGCCUGUGUGGAGUUUGCAUGUUCUCCCUGUACCUGUGUAGGUUUUCUCCAGGUACUCCGGUUUCCUCCCACAUCCCAAAAACAUACAUGGUAGGUAUAUCAAAGACUCUAAAUUGCUCUUAGGUGUGAAUGAUUAUGUGACCUGCGAUUGGAUGACAACCAUUCCAGGGUGUACCGCAGUUAGCUGGGAUAGGCUCCAGCAUACCCGCGACCCUUGUGAGGAUAAGCAGUGUAGAAAAUGUAUGGAUGGGCAGUCGGUGAGCGUAUAUCCAUACUGGCAACAUGAGUCAGGCACGCUGAGCCGUCACUGGGCAGUUAAGUGAAUCAAAACAUGCAAUAUGAUGUUUCACCUUCACGGGGCGCUAGGCUUGCGAUAGCCUCUGAAGUUUACAGUCCCCUCCAAAAGUAUUGGAACAGCAAGGUUAAUUCCUUUGUUUUUGUUGUACACUGAAGACAUUUGGGUUUUACAUCAAAAGAUGAAUAUGAGACAAAAGUUCUGAAUUCCAGCCUUUAUUUCAUGGUAUUUACAUCUAGAUGUGUUAACGAACAGAGCAGCUUUUGUUUGAAGUCUCUCACUUUUCAAGUGAGCAAAAGUAUUGGAACAGACAUUAAAUUAACUUAAAGUGAAUUAGAUUUAAUAUUUGGUUACUUGCAAUAACUGCAUCAAGCCUGCGACCCAUUGACUUCACCAGAUUGUUGCAGUCUUCAUUGGAAAUGCUUUUCCAGGCCUUUCCUGCAGCCUCUUUCAGUUCUUGUUUGUUUCUGGGGGUUUCUCCCUUCAGUGUCCACCAAGUAAAAUGCAUGCAUGCUCUUGGGUUAAGGUCCGGUGAUUGACUCGGCCAGUCUAAGACCUUCCACUUUUUCCCCCUGAUGAAGUCCUUUGUUGUGUUGGCAGUGUGUUUUGGGUCAUUGUCUUGUUGGAUGAUGAAGUGCGGUAUAAUUUGCAGUAGCGCCUACUGCAAAUUUUCAAAGCACCAGCCCUAGCUGUACGUUUCACCUAGGUCUACCAAAAUUGGGGUGCUUAGGGAACAGUCCAAGACCUACGAAAAAAGUCUCUUGGAGCAAUGCCCUUAACCCCACAGGAAGUCCUUUGCUUUCCAAUUCUGACCCAUUUUUCGUCUUUUACAUGCGUCAUAUUUUAUCGAACGCCUCCUAGAGAUUUGCCGUGACAUCAAAAGCUGUUGUAACUUAACUCCAGAUCGUCUUAUCUUCUAAAUUUCACACACUUGCGAGUCCACACUGAAAGGAAUCUAUGGGGAAAAGAAUGUAGUCUUACUAAUAAUGCCACCUACUGCACAAGGACAUGUGAUGUUUCAUACUUUGUUGUUCUCCUAAAUAGCGGGUUAAUCCUAUCACAGUUUCUGUUCAAUUUAAAAAACAAAAACAAAGGCUCAGUUGUGCCCCCUUCAAAUUUUCAGAAAAGCACCCCUGGCGCUACGUUUCACCAAGAGCUACCAAAUUUGGGAGGCAUAUAUAACAGCCCAAGACCUACAAAAAAUUAAAAUAAAAUCAAAUGUUUAUUUAUUUUUUUCAUUUUUUUUUUUUAAGUCUCUUGGAGCCACACCAUGAACCCAAAAGGAAGUCCACCAUUUUUAAUUUACUUUCACUUUUUACCUAAUUUUUCACCUUUUAUUGAGGUCACAUUUUAACAUACUCCUCCUAGAGAUUUAAUCCAAUAGACUUCAAACUUUGAUUCUCAUCUAAAGAUAGGGAAGAUGAAAAGUUAAAAGCUUUUCAUUCCAUGCCAACGCUGUUGCUGUGGUGACAUGCUGUUUCACUGCACUGUUUGCCAAGAUGUAUGUAUGUAUGCAAACUCAUGAAACUUUGAAUACACCAAGCCUGGCAAACCUUUUAAUAUUUUACAAUUAUUUGUGAAAAUCUUAAAAGUAGCUCAGUUGCGCUCCGUACAUAUUUUCAAAAAAGCAGGCCUGGCUGUACAAUUCACCCAAUUUUUCACCUUUUAUAGGGGUCACAUUUUGACAAACUCCUCUUAGAGAAUUGAAUCCGAUAGACUUCAAACUUUGGGUGUCUCUUCUUAAAGAUAUUGAAGAUAAAAAGUUAUUAAAAUAUUUUCAUUCAGUGUAACGCUGUUGUGACAUGCUGUUUUCCGUGCUGUUUGCCAAGAAAACAACUCUGUUUGAGGUGUAAUUAUGCAAGCAAUCUCAUGAAACUUUGCACAUACAACAAGCAUUGUGAACAUUUUAAUAUUUUACAGGUUGUGCAAUUUAAAAAAAAAUGGCUCAGUAGCGCCUCCUACAAAUUUUCAAAAAAGCAGCCUCGAGUAUAUGUUUCAGGGGUGUUCAAAUUCAUUUUUGUCUCAGGCCACAUAGUAGUUAUGAUUUCCCUCAGAGGGCCAUUAGAACAGUGAAACCAUAUAAAUGUUUAAUCACCAAAUCAUAUUAUUACCAUUACACAACAAAGUGAGGGAUAACUAGUUUUGAAAUCCGAAGACAAGGAUAAUAGUUUGUUCAAGUAUUGUUUAAGUUACUGUAGAAGAAGGGUUUGGUAACAGAAAAAUGCAAUAUCUCAACAUUAUUGUUUAUUAUUAUGACAAUUUGGAAUUUGGGUACAGAUUUUAGCAGAAAUCACAGAAGUUGCCGAAAAUGAUUUGCUUUUGCAGGCCACAUAAAAUAAUGUGGCGGGCCUUGAGUUUGACACCUAUGACCUAGGGCUACUAAAAUUGGGAAGCAUACACUCCCCUCCAAAAGUAUUAGAACGACAAGGUCAAUUCCUUUGUUAUUGUUGUAUACUGAAGACAUUUGAGUUUCAGAUCAAAAGAUGAAUAUGAGACAAAAGUUCAGAAUAUGAGACAAAAGUUCAGAAGUCCAGCUUUUAUUUCAUGGUAUUAACACCUAGAUAUGUUAAACUACUCAGGACAAAGCACCUUUUCUUUGAACCCACCCACUUUUCAAGUGAGCAGAAGUAUUGGAACAGACAUUAUUAAAUUAACUUGAAGUGAAUAACAUUCAAUAUUUGGUGGCCUAACCCUUACUUGCAAUAACUCCAUCAAGCAUGUGACCCAUUGACUUCAGACUACUGCAUUCUUCAUUUGAUAUACUUUUCCAGGCCUUUACUGCAGCCUCUUUUAGAUUUUGUUUGUUUCUGGGUGUUUCUCCCUUCAGUCUCCUCUUCAGGGGGUAAAAUGCUGAUGAAGUCCUUUGUUGUGUUGGCAGUGUGUUUUGGGUCAUUGUCUUGUUGCAUAAUGAAGCUUCUGACGAUUAGUUUAGAUGCAUUUUUCUGUAAAUUGCCAGAAAAAAAAUAGUUUGUAUCAGAAUUCAUUCUGCUGCUGCAUGAGUUACAUCAUCAAUAAAGACGAGUGAGUCUGUUCCAGAAUAAGCCAUACCAGCCCGAGUCAUGACAUUACCUCCACCCUGCUUCACAGAUGAGCUUGUGUGUUUUGGAUCAUAAGCAGAUCCUUUCUUCUCCAUACUUUGGCCUUUUCAUCACUUUGGUAGAGUUUUAAUCUUGGUCCCAUCAGUCCAUAAAACUUUUUUGCAAAACCUUUGUGGCUCAUCUCUGUACUUCUUUGCAAAACCCAAUCUGGCCUUCCGAUUCUUUUUGCUGAUGAGUGGUUUGGAUCUUGUGGUAUUGGCCUAUAUAUUUCUUCUCUCGAAGUCUUCUUCGAACAGUGGAUUGUGAUACCUUCACCCCUUCCCUGUGGAAGUUGGCAUGAUUUUACUGACUGUUGUAUUUGGGUAUAUCUUCACAGCUCUCACAAUGUUUCUAUCAUCUACUACUGUUGAUAUCCUGCCAACCUGCUCAAUUUCUGUUGCUCAGUAUACCAGUAAUUUAUUUAUUUUUCAGGACAUUCCAAAUUGUUGAAUUGGCUAUGCCCAAUGUUUUUGCAAUCGCUGUGAUCGAUUUUCCCUCUUCUCGCAGCUUCAAAAUGGUUUGCUUUUCUCCCAUAGCUCUCCGGUCUUCAUGUUUGCGUAACAGUAAAUGCCGUUUUCACAGGUGAAACCCAAUGCCAAAAACAAGGACUAUCUAAUGUUUAAGCAAUCAAUCUAAAAGGCAACACGUGAGCAACUAGGAACACCCAUAAGUUAAUUUAAUCAUGUCUGUUCCAAUACUUUCGCUCACCUGAAAAGUGGGUGGCUACAAACAAAAGUAUAAUACCUUGAAAUAAAAGCUGGAAUUGUGAACUUUUGUCUCAUAUUCAUCUUUUGAUCUGAAACCCAACAAAAACAGGAAUUGAUUGACCUUGCUGUUCCAAUAUUUUUGGAGGGGACUGUAUGUGCCAGCACUGGUCAAAACAUGGUCAAGACUCUUAAAUUGCCCGUAGGUGUGAAUGUGAAUAGUUGUUAGUUUAUAUGUGCCCUGUGAUUGGCUGGCUGUCUCCCGAAGAUUGCUCGGAUAGGCUCCAGCACGCCCGCAACCCUAGUGAGGAUAAGCGGUACAGAAAAUGGAUGGAUGGAUGAUUAUGGGAUGGUGGUGUUGUUCCUGCUGCUUUUGUCUGCAGUCACAUCAUUAAUGAGUACAACGGAACCAUUUCCAUGGGCUGCUAUAUGGGCACCUUGCCAUGACACAGGCUGUCACAAAAACUAUUUUUUAAUUUUCCCAAAAAGUAUCAUGAUAAACGAUAGUUGUUUUUUUGAAUGCCAUGCCAAUGCCAAUCAUGAAAAAUAAGGCAUGCCCUUAUUAUUUUUUAUUUUAAUUUGCUUUUAAAUCAGUGAUGAUGUUAUUAUUAGGGCCCUAGGAGCGACCGCUGCAACGGACCUAUUGUAAUCGCAAGAGUUCUUCAUUAGUAGAGACCGCUGCAAGAGUCCUAUUGUACAACCCCAAUUCCAAUGAAGUUGGGACAUUGUGUUAAACAUAAAUAAAAACAGAAUACAAUGAUUUGCAAAUCACAUUCAACCUAUAUUUAAUUGAAUACACUACAAAGACAAUAUAUUUCAUGUUCAAACUGAUAAACUUUAUUGUUUUUAGCAAAUAAUCAUUAACUUAGAAUUUUAUGGCUGUAAAACGUUCCAAAAAAGUUGGGACAGGUGGCAAAAAAGACAGAAAGUUGUGGAAUGCUCAUCAAACACCUGUUUGGAACAUCCCACAGGUGAACAGGCUAAUUGGGAACAGGUGGGUGCCAUGAUUGGGUAUAAAAGGAGCUUCCCUGAAUUGCUCACUCAUUCACAAGCAAAGAUGGGGCGAGGUUCACCUCUUUGUGAACAAGUGCUUGAUAAAAUAGGCGAACAGUUUAAGGACAAUGUUCCACAACGUACAAUUGCAAGGAAUUUAGGGAUUUCAUCAUCUACGGUCCAUAAUAUCAUCAAAAGGUUCAAAGAAUCUGGAAAAAUCACUGCAUGUAAGCGGCAAGGCCGAAAACCAACAUUGAAUGCCCGUGACCUUCGAUCCCUCAGGCGGCACUGCAUCAAAAACUGACAUCAAUGUGUAAAGGAUAUCACCACAUGGGCUCAGGAACAUUUCAGAAAACCAAUGUCAGUAAAUACAGUUCGGCGCUACAUCCGUAAGUGCAACUUGAAACUCUACUAUGCAAAGCAAAAGCCAUUUAUCAACAACACCCAGGAAUGCCGCCGGCUUCUCUGGGCCCGAGCUCAUCUAAGAUGGACUGAUGCAAAGUGGAAAAGUGUUCUGUGGUCCGACAAGUCCACAUUUCAAAUUGUUUUUGGAAAUUGUAGACGUGUCCUCCUUCCAAGGAGGAAAAGAACCAUCCGGACUGUUAUGGACGCAAAGUUCAAAAGCCAGCAUCUGUGAUGGUAUGGGGCUGUGUUAGCACCAAUGGCAUGGGCAACUUACACAUCUGUGAAGGCACCAUUAAUCCUGAAAGGUAUAUACAGGUUUUGGAGAAACAUACGCUGCCAUCCAAGCAACUUCUUUUUCAUGGAUGCCCCUGCUUAUUUCAGCAAGACAAUGCCAAACAACAUUCUACACGUGUUACAACAGCGUAGCUUCAUCUUCUUCUUUUUGUCAUUAUUCUUAUUCUCACAGUCCAUCACAUUUUUGAGGGCCAAUACAUGUUCCGAUUUGAACUAAACUGGGCCUGGCAAAACAUUUAUUUUAAAGUUGUUAUAUGCGAUCACUAAAAAAUAGCUAUCUAGUGCCCCCUAGAAAUCUAAAAAUCAUUGGCCCCCACAUCACGUUUGACUUAUGGCUUCGGAAAUUGGUAGGCACGUGAUUUUUAAAAAAAAUACCAGUUUGGCCCUUUUUUGACCAUUUUUCCACAUUCACAGGGGUAUAUAAAAUUUUAGUACUCAAUUGUCCUCCAAAACCCUCUUCUGUUUGGGUGCAUAACUCAUUUUACCCGUUAUUCCUCUCAGACCACAUUUGCCACAUUUUUCACCUACAUCACUCAAAGAGUAACCACUUACAUAUCAGAUGGUAGUAUACUGGCCAUAUGUUACACAGUGACUACACUGAGCAAAACCUUUAAGCGCCCUUUGUAUAAGUCAGUGUUGGGAAAGUUUAUUUUCUACAUAACUAGCUAAAAAAAAAAAAAAGUUCAGUUCACCGUUCCAAAAAUAAACUACUUCUGUUCAUCGUUCAAAAUUUUGAACCAAGUUCACUGUUCCAAAAAUUUUACUGCCAGCUUCAGCUUUCAGCCUACAGUCUCAAAAACAUGAGGAAAAAUGUGUUGCUUGAAUGGUCUUUUUAUUUUUUAAAUGACAAAUUAAAACAAAAAUGGGGCUUUUGUCCUGAUGUACACUUAACGCGUUUCUGACAAGUUCCAUGACAUCAGAGCGUCUUGCAACCCUUGUGCAAUGAGCUCUCAUGUACAAUCAUCAGUAAAAAUGCUUCUUUGAAGGCACAAACUUUUCAACUCCUCGUCGAUGUAAUGUACUGUUAAACUGAGAUAAGAUCAUAGGUUCUGCUGGACCACAGAUCUGUGAUUGCGGCGAAGUGGGUCACAUUUGCCACUUUUUUCCCGACUGAAAUGUACAGGUCUGGGAAAAAAAAUGCAACCUGGCAAAUCAUAUUUUGGGUCAAGCGUCCUAAUGAGAUAUUUGAAUCCUGGCUUUACCACAACACUAACCGGGACCAUGUCUUGGGGUGAUGUGUUUUGUCACUGCAGCCGUGAUCUCGCUCAAUUUUGGACUUUUGUCAAAUGGGACUAAAUUUGCAAACGAAGAAGCUGUGGUCAUUUUCUUUGGUGCUACUUCUCUCGUCAUUUCAUACAUAUCACAUUUCAUACAUAUCAUUUCAUACAUAUCACAUGUGCAUUGAAGGCCUUCAGAGCCUUCUUGGCUGGCCUAAACUCUAUUAAAAGCACUGACCGACAUGUACAAACGUAUUACAUUAUUAAUUACUAAUUGUUAUUUAUUAUAUAUAAUAUAACCAUAAAUAUAUAAUAUGUAUUAAUUUAUUUCAAACAGUCUUUUGUUUUCUUAGCAUUUGUAUUGGCUGCCCAGCUUCCAGUCGUGUAGAUAAUUUUUUUGGGAGGUCCAAUAAGAUUCCAGCUUCUAUGUGUUGCCAUGUCAAUAUAAUCUGCCCAGUGCCUUCAAUGUCAUAAAUGCUGAACUAUGCCACAUACACACAGUGGUAAUGGUUGUUUAUUUUUUCAAACAAUCAGAUUUCAGAGUCAAUAAACAGGGCUACCUGGAAGGCUCCAAGUGAUGUCGGCAUUUCCCCGUCCUCGAUUGGUUGCUUAGAGCAAAACUGCCCAAAAUGGCUGAAGGAACAGGACGAGAAAUCAACUUGUUGACCUAUAUUAUAUAUAUAUAAAAAAAGUGGACAUUGUGAGGAUAGGUCGACCAAUACCAUUGCUCGUUGUCUUGUUUUUACUCACUAAAGGCUUUACAGUAGUUUGCACUUUCAGAGCACUCCACAAUGAGCCACUAUAUUAUACAGUGAGUUUACAGAUAUGAACAGAAGGAAAAUGGGGUAGAUUUGAUCUGUAAAUCAGCAUCUCUGGUGAGUGCGAUAUUUUUUGUAAUGUUAUUAGACAAAUACAUUGAUUGAGAGCUGCUCAGGCCGGCUAUACGCUGCAGCAAGUCAAAUUCGCCACUUCCUCAAUUGUCUCUUAAGACCUAAAAUCCUGUCUGCAGUGAGACUGUACAUGGCCACAAGUCAUUUGUUAAUCUUUAUCAUUUGAAUGUUGCCGUGUGCCCUCACUGUUGUAGCGAACCGGACAGCUCAGCCACCACACCAGCCUGCCGGCGGCUAGAUUGGCCGCCCGCGCGCCGGUACACCGGUUUUGGAGCCCGUCCUACUCGCUACAACAGUGUCCCAUGAGGGCCCUCACAAUGGAGACACUUUUGGAGAACAGUUUAUUACAUGCGCUAGCUAAUGAGCUUACCAGUACGGCGUCAGCUCGUCCAUUGUCACCACCUUAAAUGGUUUUGUCGUGUGUGCGUCCACAUAACAAAGCAUUUGGGAAAGUUAACCGUUUAAUAGAUAUUGCGACAGUCAGUUUAUGACUGCGUGUGACUGCGUGUGUGCGUGAUCCCCAAAGAGCACAGACACGUCCGUGAUUGACACCUGAAAGUUCCACAUGGCGCACUCAGUGGACAUGCCCACACAGCCCUCCAGGCUGGAGGGUAGGGUCGAUUUUCAUGGUUUUGAACCUUAUUUUCUAUACUUGCUAUUUUAUUCAUUCAGAUUUGGUAAACCUGUUAACAACACUUUUGGUGUGUCAAAUUUACAGGACAUUUUUGGUUGUUUACUGGGUCUUUAAAUAUAAGAACAUCAUUCAGGCAGGCAAGGCAUGUUUUGCCCAGCUGUGAUUGGCGCUCACUUAGAUUUUAUUCAUAAUUGACAUUUAGCAGUAGACAUUUAAUAUUUAACAUAUCUUUAUUUAACACUAUUAUUUGCAUAUUUGUAUCGUUUAUUUGUACACCAAAAUGUGACAGUCUAUAUGAAUAUAAAUAGAAAAACAAUUUGAUAUUUGCUCAGUCAACAGAAAGACAUUUUGUCCAGGAGCAGUGACGGUAUUUGCAUGAUAUGCCCUGUCUUCAACACAUUUGGAAGACAAAAUAAUAUUCAAUUAGACUGCAUAGGGGAGCAAACUUUUUCUGCUCAUGGGCUGCAUUGGAUUUUUGAAAUGACAUCAGGUCAUUUGUAGAAAUAGUGUAACAGAAAGUUUAUUCCAAUAAUAAAACCAUAAUAAAUAUUUCAAUAAAUCAAUCAAGCUAUAAUGUAAUUUAAUAAAGGAAUAAAAACUAAAACAAAAAUAAACACAAUCUUUACCAAUAAGAGAAUAAUCCUUUCCCAUUUAUGUGAAUAUUUCUAAUAAAUUUUAUCAUGAUUACUGUAGCAAACAUUGAAAGUGAAAAUGUUAGAUGUAUAUGGUAGUGUUUGCUCGAGGUUUACAUUGGGUAUUUUGACAGCUGCCCGAGCAGAUGAAAUGUGCUCAUACAGCGCUGUCAAAUGUUACGGAACGCCUGUAUUUUGUUAAGGAAAUCACUGAACGCUGACUCGUACCGGCUGUAAUUGCUAAAUGUUCCGGAUGUUGGGGGCGGGAAACAGUGUCCGACAUUACCGACCAGUUCAGCGCUGUGUCAGGCCACCAUGAUGCUUCAGACGCUGGCCAGUACAAAUUUCAUAAAGUUAUUCAAUGAAAUAAACACUAUAUUAUGAGGGGAAAACAUUCAGGAUCAGUCGCCCAACCUCCCUACUUUCUGCUGUUCGGGUACUAAGGGGAAUCCUUGGUACAUGCUAUUAUAUUAUGCCCCCUGGCUACCGAGCUGCAGUGGCAGAAGUUUUCUUUGUCAUGAACGGAACAAAGGACAGGACCCAAAAUGCACGACUCCAAUUCAAAUGGACAGUUUAAAAAAGAGAGGUUUAAAAAACGGGCAGAGGUCGGUACACAGGCAGGCAAUCCGCAAAGGCAACACUAUCCAAAAACGUGAGUCAAAAAGGCAAGGUCAAUAAUCAGCAUUCAACUUACUAUGAGUCCGUGACGUGGAAACAAGGAAUGCUGGAACGUGACAACAAGGUACAACGAACUGGCGAUCAGAAAGAAUGAGACACGAGGUUAAAUGCAUGGGGUAAUUAGGGUACAAGGCACAGGUGGGGAAGAUGCUCUCAGGAGCAGGUGUGUCCGAGACAAGGGAACACAACAACCAGAACACACACCCAUGACACUCUUUGUGUCCGGUGCAAUGCAUUGUGAGUCACUAAUCAUUGCCUCCAUGGUAGCGAAUCAGCAACACUUCUGACAAGUAUCAUUGUCUCUUUAGCGUAUAUUGGUUUGGAUAAAAACAUAAUUAAUUUAGGAGAAAAGAAUAAGCCGGAAGCGAUGGCUGCAUGAUUUUAAGUUUCAGCAUUAAAAUCUAAUUAUUUUAUCUUGUAAAAGGGGCACCAUGUCUCUAUUUAGAUGUGUAAAACUUCAGGACAAAGUGAAGAAAACCUCAGUCUCGUAAUCUGAAGGUUGCUACAGGAAUUAGAUAAGAGUUCUCGAAAACAAGAGGUCUUUUGUCGAACCCAAACACACACAACUGAUACAGGUAGUGGAUUUUAAUAGAACAUUUAAUGAAAUGUACAGGGGAACAAUGCAGGGAAAAGAAAAACAAAGGACUAACGAACAUUGGCAAAGAAGAUUGAACUUGUGCUGUGAGGGUGGAAAGAGCCUGCGCGGUGACAAUGCAUAGCGCUGGGAAUUCCUCUUGCCGUUAAUUUAAACCGAAAUAUGCACCAAUCUGUACUUCAGUAGACCGGAAGUUGGACUUACGUUGCGUGGAACACAAUUUGGGCAGGCUGGUCGAUCUUCCGAAUGUUUGGCCGGUCCGGUCCGUAUGGGCAACAGGUGGAUUUGACGGAAAAAGGAGGAAGAAAACAAAAGAAGAAGCAAGAAAAAGAGUUCCAAGCACUGGGCGGCCGAAGCCCGGGUGUCGCUGUUCGCAAGGCGGUCGGAGCAGGCGUCCGCCGCACGUUUCUCUCCCGAGCUUUGCCGUAAGCUGCCCAGGCACCCGCAGGGGUAGCUCGGGGCGGUGGCAGGGUGCCCUGCGAAGGGGAAGGGUCUGAUGUGUCCUCGUGUUGAGAGGUGGGGCUGGUAUCUUGAGCCCUGCACACGGGGUCUUCUGAAGCCUGGGAGUCCAGGUUUCUGGGUUAGCUAAUUGAUUUAAAGUCUGGGUUAGGAGUCAGGAUUCCUAGUCUCCGCUUUGUUGAGUUCCUUUGGACUGGCUGGUAAUUCAUUUCGCGUCCGUGUGAGAUCAACCAGGCAUCCCUGUGGCCGUCUGUCUCGGCGGGGGAGCGGAGACAGGGAAUGCAGUCCCAGUCCGAGGUUGGGGUCAUGGUGCCAUCUGGUGAGAGCAUGUCCUUUACGUAUCCCCCCUUUGCCGGCUCGAUGCCGGAUCUCGGCGACGUCUCUUUGGAAGAUGGCACAGGUUGGCAUGAACACAACAAUGCAUUUACCAAAGUACAACAUUAGUGCGUAUCACCCCCCCUUAUGGCUAUAACAAUUGUCUAUGACAACUUCUUACUUAAGGUGUGCCUGUAUGUGCAUAUAGGUGUCGGUGUCAGGAUUGACGUGUGUGGAUAUUGGGAUGGCAGUUUAUAUUGGGAUGGCAGUGAGAACAGUAAUUCUGGGCAGGGGAGAAGCUAACUUUAAGGGUAAACAUUAACUAGGUGUAGAGUUCUCAGUUCUGUCUUUGCCUGUCAGCUCCAACCUCAUCAUCCUUCUACCACUCUCUCUAUCACUCUCUCUCCUGUGUCCAAACCAUCGAAGUCUACUCUCUCCAACUUUGCCUCCAAAACAUCUAACUGUGGCCAUCCCUCUGAUGAUCUUAUUUCUAAUCCUAUCCAACCUGGUCACCCCGAGAGAGAAGCUCAACAUUUUCAUUUACGGCACCUCCAGCUCUGCUUCCUGUUGUCUCUUCAGAGCCACUGUCUCUAAUCUUGCAUCAUGGCUUGGCCUUACCACUGUCUUUAAACUUUGCCUUUCAUCCUAGCAGAGACUCUUCUGUCACAUAACACACCUGACACCUUCCUUCACCCGUUCCAACCUGCUUGGUCCUGUUUAUUUACUUCCUUACUACACAAUUGCUCUGUACUGUUGCCCCCAGGUAUUCAGAGUAGUCCUCCACCCUCGCUCUCUCUUUUCCCUGUAGCCUCACUCUUCUCCCUCCACUCUUCUCAUUCAUGCACAUAUAUUCUGUCUUACUUCAGUUAAUCUUCAUUCCUCUCCUUUCCUCUCCAGUGGAUGCCUCCACCUGCUUCCUGCUUUCCCUGCAGAUCACAAUGUCAUCUGCAACCAUCAUGGUCCAUGGGGAUCUGUGGUGAUAUGCUGGCUGUUCUAAGUAGUCUUUUCUGUAAACCUCUGCUCCAAGCUCAACAAAGCCCUCCUUCCUGGGCCUGUCUUGGGUCUGUGUGCAUUCUGCACAAUUUAAAAAAAUCCUUAAAAUGUAAAGCAAUAAUCAAAUUAUAAAAUGAACCAAAAAAAACAAAACAUGGUUAUAUAAUGAAGAUAUAAUGCAUCCACUAAAUUUAAUGCUGUGUCACAUACUGUACAGCCAGGAUUUAAACUGAGGCAUUUUGAGCCACUUUGUGUCAAAUGCAGUCAUUCUUUGUUUAUUGUCCGCUGAUGCAGUCAUGAACGCAAAGGAGAAAAUAAAUUAGGACCAGCCUUGUGUUAAGUGCUAAUAGUCUUACCUGUUGCUUCCGAACUAGCAGACUCUACAGCAUGCUAGUGUGUGUCCUCAGGACGAGGCUUUUUCGUUAUUCGCUUGAAAUAAUUUUCAAUAUUUAUCUGUGUGAAUGAGAUGUCAUUCACUCACCUGACGAGCAGAACCGCUUCAUGCAAUACGAAUAUAGCAUGAGUUACUACUGUCUUUGUACAUGUUUAGCUUCUAGCUACGUUAACAGAGAGACAGCGUAAUAUAACAUGUAUUCGACCUGUUAGAACUUCUGUCCUUGUUUGGCAACAUAUUUGUAGCAGUUUUUGUUUUUGUUUCAUCUGUUGGUGUCCCUUGCGAUUCGCCCUGGCGGCGAUGCUCGUAGUUGGGUGCACGUUUCGUCUUGAACCUCUUCUUCUCUGGCAGACCAAGCUGCGCGUCCCGGCGGAGGUAACACAUACCUACUGACCGGCGAGUAAUGACACGCUACAUUCACAGCGAGGACGAACAGCUAGCGGGAACAUCUAUUAGUGGCGGCAAAAAUUCACGUGUGGUGCCCAGCCACAAAUAAAUGUAUAUGUGGGAAACCCUGUACUGAUUUGCCUGCUGUUUUGCUCUUCAAAGUAGUGAUGGGCACGGCAGUUCUUUUGAGUGUACUGAAUCAUUCGAAUCAUCCAUCCAUUUUCUGAGCCGCUUCUCCUCACUAGGGUCGCGGGCGUGCUGGAGCCUAUCCCAGCUAUCAUCGGGCAGGAGGCGGGGUACACCCUUUUUUGCAUUCCACCGCGGUGGACAACAUCGCUAACACCAUCCCCCGCCAGCCGGGCUUUCUGCUCACUCACCCUACUGUUAUUGUCAUCUGAUUAGUGGAAAGCGUCUUUUGAGUGUCUUGAGAGGCGCUAUAUAAGCUAAAUGUAUUAUUAUUAUUAUCCAUCCAUCCAUCCAUUUUCUGAGCCUCUUCUCCUCACUAGGGUCGCGGGCGUGCUGGAGUCUAUCACAGCUAUCAUCGGGCAGGAGGCGGGGUUCACCCUGAACUGGUUGCCAGCCAAUCGCAAGGCACAUACAAACAAACAACCAUUCUCACUCACAUACACACCUAUGGGCAAUUUAGAUUUGUCAAUUAACCUACCAUGCAUGUUUUUGGGAUGUGGGAGGAAACCGGAGUGCCCGGAGAAAACCCACGCAGGCACGGGGAGAACAUGCAAACUCCACACACGCGGGACCGGGGAUUGAACCCCACUCCUCAGAACUGUGAGGCAGACACUCUAACCAGUCGUCCACCUUGCCACUAUUAUUAUUAUUAUUAUAAUAUUAAAUAAAUCUCUUUAAUCAUCGCAUUAGCGACACAGAAGGAAUGAUAUGUAUGUGUAUGUAUAUACAUUUAUUAUUAGUUUACAUUUAUUUUAACUUUGUGUGCUUGUUUUUAUGUGCUUGACUGACUAAAAAAUUUGCCGUUAGCUUGAAGCUGCAAGUGAAAGCUAUCCCCGCAAGGACGUCAGGACUUGCGGUUAAAACCACUGCGUAGUAUGUUGUUCCUUGUGCAAACGAAUCACUCAUCGUACUAGUACAUCACUCCUUAGCGGAUCACAAAUGAAGAAGUUCAACUGAUUGCGAACGAUAAGUUCAACGAACUAAUCACUCUCCAGUUCCUCAGUACACCAGUUCACUGAACGAAUCACUCUUCAGUUCUUUAGUACACCAGUUCAAUGAACGAAUCACUCAGUUCACUUAAGUCCCUCCCCUGAACGAAUCACUCUUCAGUUCUUCAAUUCUUCAGUUACUCAGUACACCAGUACACCGGUUUACUGAACGAAUCCCUCUUCAGUUCUCCAGUACACCAGUUCACUGAACGAAUCACUCAGUUCACUUAAGUCCCUCCCCCGUUUGCACGGCGCUGCCUGACGCUGGCUGCUCAUUGGUCAUUCGCCAAAGUGAGUGACAACGCUGGCGAAUUGCAAAUCACAUGGCCUUACGUUUAAUGAAGUCCCACCCCCGCCUGCACGCUGGCUGCUCAGUGGUCAUUCGCCGAAGAUUCAGAAGUGAGUGACAGAACGCUUCAACAGUUCCGUUUCCCCUCCCAGCCGACUCGCUCGCCUCACGGCGGUGGGCGGCGGCCAAGCUAAAAGAAUGAAUCAUUUCAUAAACUGAUUCAGUUCAGUUCGUUAACUAAAAAGAUUUGUUAUUCUGAACAAAACGUUCAUGAACGAAACAACAGUACUUCAAAGUUGGCUAAUCUCCACUGUAACGUGCUUCCAGCCAGACCUAUGUGACAAGUGUACUGUACCACCCAAUCACUUUUUUUGUUGGUUUGCAAAUUUAUGUAAUGAUAGCUUAGCAGUUAACAUGGCAUCUCCGGCUGUCUCUCGUCUUAUCCUCUGCCCGUCCUUAGUGAUAACGAUACUUGUCUAAAAGUGUUGCUUAUUCGCUGUGAUGGGUGCGAUGAUUUGUGACCUGUGCUGUGUUGACAACGGACAUGAGGUGCACAUUCGCCUCUGUGGCUCAGCAUUGUAUUUUGUCAUGUUAGCUGUAGUGCGUAGGUAGCUGGGGGGGCAUGCGACUCCCCUUAGGACCUGAAACAGUAGAAAGCAGCGAUGUUGACAAUAGGGACGCUCCAGUAUGGGAUAACCGAGCCAGUAAGAUAAAAGUGCAGUUAGGUGCAACAGGACAAGACACACAUAGUCCUCAGAGUCAUUUGCCAGAAGUAUGUCAUAGAAAACUUUUAAUAAAGCUAACUCUGUGCUAUGUAGCAUUUUAAAACCAGAGUGGCAGAUCUCCAGGACAUCAUGUUUAUCCAAGAAUGCCUUCAACUGCAUGUGCAGACUUUUCUCCAGGAUUUUUGACAUGAGAGGUAACUUUGAAAUGGGUCCAAAAGCCAGAUGACAGACUGCUAUUAAUAAUACCCAAAACCGACUUCUCUCUACUAGGGAAAAAACCCUUAACAAAGUGAGGAGAAACAAAGUCAUAAGGGACCAUAUUCUCCCAUUGGUGCGUAAGUCUGUAUUUUACGCGCCUGGCUUGCGCGCUUUCGAGGUGCGCGGAUUCUCCGGUUAUGACUUCUGACACACCCAGCGCGCAUACCUGGCUAGUUUGUGUGUAACGGCUUGAGAGGCGUGACUCAUUGAAGUCUGCAGGAGGGUAGAGUUCCCUGAAUGUAGAGCUUUCCUGAGAAAUGGUAGUGCCAUUCCAGCACCACACACGCCGGCGUGUCACUUAAAUGGAUUUUACGACCGACGAUGACCAAAUAUGAACAAAAUGAUUCCAAACCUUAACGCACCAUCGCGCCAUCAAGAUGACUGUUCUUUUGAGCGGCGCUUGCAGACAAACUCAAACAAAUGCAGCAUAUUUGAAACGGAAGUGCUGCUCGGAGCUCGUGGAUGAAUAUUAAUUAACUAAUAUGACAAAAUAUGUCGAUGUUCGGCUAUCAAUUGGUCUAAUGUGGUAGGGACACAGUAUGGCCGUUGGGCAGUCGGUGAGUGUAUAUGUCCAGGUGUCCGUCAGCAUGCUGAUUCAGCCGCUGGGCCGGCAGCAGCCGUUGGAUGCUCGAAGCACGGGAGGGAAUCACAAUGUGCAAUAUGACUAUAGACAUACUACAGCCUCUGGAGCGUGCAUGAGGAAAUGCGCUUAAGCCUUUGGCAGAAUACGCGCAAGGCCAUAUAUGAGAGGGAACGCCCACACUCUAGGGUUACUCCACCCAAAGUGCGCACAUGACCAGAAGGUGUGCAAAUGAUAGAACUAAGUAGACGGCAGUAUGGGCGCAAACAGAAAAGCGCAGAGCUGUGCGCCUUUUCUAACUUAAGCAUACGGGAGAAAAUCGCCCAGGGAGAAUAAGGGGGCAGCGGUAUCCAAGUGGUUAAGACUGCCUGCCACCUAGUGGCAGAGCAAGGAUAUUUUCUGUGGGGUGGCCGGCAGGUGGCCAGAAAAUGAGUGGGUGGCCAUGAAAGCGCUGACAGGGUUGACCGCUACGCAAAUUGAAAAAUUCAACUCUGGACUUUUGCCCUGAGAAAUCCUUCGCAACUGGACCCUUCUUAAUUUUAAUUGACGAUUACUACUUUAGGCGGCACGGUGUCCGACUGGUUAGAGCGUCAGCCUCACAGUUCUGAGGUGCGGGGUUCAAUCCCCGUCCCCGCCUGUGUGGAGUUUGCAUGUUCUCCCCGUGCCUGCGUGGGUUUUCUACGGGCACUCCGGUUUCCUCCCACAUCCCAAAAACAUGCAUUAAUUGGAGACUCUAAAUUGCCCGUAGGCAUGACUGUGAGUGCGAAUGGUUGUUUGUUUCUAUGUGCCCUGCGAUUGGCUGGCAACCAGUUCAGGGUGUACCCCGCCUCCUGCCCGAUGACAGCUGGGAUAGGCUCCAGCACGCCCGCGACCCUAGUGAGGAGAAGCGGCUCAGAAAAUGGAUGGAUGGAUGGAUUACUACUUUAAUCCUGAGGUGGCAGCAAUGCACUAAACAUGCCCAGCUAGCUGGAAAUCAAGAAGAAGAAGAAGAGACGAAGCAGUAAAGUGACGUCAUGUUGAAUGGAUACUGAUACUGAAAUAAAGUGACUAAAAAAGGAAUUGAAAGACUGAUUCUUGAGAAUGCCAGACCGACCAAACCUGACUGUCCGGAACAGCCUCCCUUUUCUCUCAAGGACAAGAUAACUGUGUGAAAAGGCCUUUCUUACUUGACUCACUCCCAUUUGAGUUUAACUGUGCGUUGCGCUUCCGUGUUGUUCAGAGACGGGGAGAAGCGCAAAGCAACUGCAGGCCCCUUUGCUAUGGC